rnacentral:rRNA from 1 species
GUGGGGAAUCUUGCGCAAUGGGCGAAAGCCUGACGCAGCCAUGCCGCGUGAAUGAUGAAGGUCUUAGGAUUGUAAAAUUCUUUCACCGGGGACGAUAAUGACGGUACCCGGAGAAGAAGCUCCGGCUAACUUCGUGCCAGCAGCCGCGGUAAUACGAAGGGGGCUAGCGUUGCUCGGAAUUACUGGGCGUAAAGGGCGCGUAGGCGGACAGCUUAGUCAGAGGUGAAAGCCCAGGGCUCAACCUUGGAAUUGCCUUUGAUACUGGCUGUCUUGAGUUUGGGAGAGGUGAGUGGAACUCCGAGUGUAGAGGUGAAAUUCGUAGAUAUUCGGAAGAACACCAGUGGCGAAGGCGACUCACUGGCCAAAUACUGACGCUGAGGCGCGAAAGCGUGGGGAGCAAACAGGAUUAGAUACCCUAGUAGUCC